ACGAGAAAAAAAGUUACCACGGGAUUUUAAUUUCUCGGUCUGCAUUAACAAAUAGAACUUUCGCCAUUCGAGUGAGAAGGAGAAAGAAGAACGCUGUAGAGAAUAGGAGCAUAUUGAAUUUUUCUCCUGGCAGAAGAAUAAUUUUCACUUCUUGAAAAAAUGAAGACUUUUCAAUUUUACAACGACUUGAAAGAAUAUCUUUUACGGGAAGAAUUUAGCAACAAUUUUACGGUCAGAGAGCGAAGUGAAAUACGACGUGUGUCCGUGAAUUUUAUGAUUAAAGUCCAUCACCCAUGCCCUGGCUGCUCUACAGGGUGUAUCAGGACAGGAGGCAGAAGACUUAUUUCUUGGUGGCCCAGAAUACAGUAUCAGUGAAGUGGAAGAAUUUAACUGAAAGAUAGGGCAGCAAUUAAAGAAGGAGGGAAUGCUGUGAUAUCUGUUAGAAUAGAAGAUGAUGCUACUGCCCAGUGCUUCCAGAAUCCUUCAUUUGAGUCUUGGGUCUGAAUCUACUGCGUCAUUGCCAAGUAUUCUGGGGUAAUGUAUCUUGUUUUGUUUACAUUUUGUUUUUCUCCAUAUUCCAAGCUCAUUUACUUGACCUUAGCUUUAAUAAACUUGAUGGC